UGAAGAAAGGCCUAUGGCAUCUGGGACUCCUCUGUCACAUGUGAAGGCACAUAGCGGCGUCUGCAUGUCCUUCACUCCCGGGUUUCAUUGCUUUCAGAUAUUGUGAUUGGUAUUUACACAUCUUGGUUACGAUACCUUGCCUUCUCUAAGGAUGCUGAUUUAGAACUGUUCCUUUGGCCCUUCCAGCUUUGGCCCUCCUAAGGGCCAUAGCCUCUUGGCUUCCUCUUCUGGAGAGGUGAUGGGAAGUCAGACAAGAGCUGAUGACGGUGGUUUGCCCGGUGAAAACCAAUGACUACCCCUGGGAAGUAAUCACCUCUAAAGCGCUUUCUGACAACAUCAGUGGUUUCCUCGUUACUGAGAGCUUCCUAGCUGUGUGAAUUCCCCUGGGUCGGGACAUGGCGCAAGCUUGCGAGCCACAUCUGGCACUGUGGCCAGAGCCAGGACCCUGUGCGGGGAUUGGACAGACACUUCUCAGCCUGAGGAUUCGAGAUCGUGGGGAGUCCCUGCCACCACCACCCUGGGCCUCUGUCCAAGGAAGGAGUACUAGCUAAGGGGGGUAGGGUGCCCGGCGGGGUGGGUAGCACAGGGGUUCUGGGGUCUGGGUCUUUAAGCUCUUGACCUGGCUCUGUCUGCUCUGACCAAGGGAAGGAAUAGUGGCUCUGGAUGAGGGGUGGGAGAAGAGAAUUUGAAGAUGCCUCACCCCAGGAAGGAUGUUGGUGCCCUAAGGUAGGAAGGUGUGCACCGGACUUCCUCUCUCUCUCUUAAAACACAGAUUACACACACGCACGCACACACACAGUGAACACUCAAAAACUAAUAAAUAAUAUAAAUUGCGGUGUUCCAGGCACUUUGCUGCAUUAUGUUAUUUAUGAUCCCAACUCCCCUAUGAAAGAGGGUUCAUCUCCCAGAGGAACAAACCAGCUCAGAGAAGAGAGGACAGGAUUGGGAGCCACAUCUGUCUAAUCCCUCCCUCAACUUUGCCCCUAAGCGUCAACUUCCUUUUAAUCUUGCUCCUCCUCUCCCUUGCCUGCCCCCCACCCUGGGGCCUCGCAUGUGCCCGAGAUGUGGUAAAUGUGGCAGCUUGUCAUCUGUCUUCACUGCUUCUCUUUUCACUUCCUCCCUUGCUUCCGUCGACCAGGCCAUAAGCUCCUGGAAGGUGGGGGCCUUGCCCCACGGUGCAGCGUGGCCCACGGAGGGAUGUGGUCAGUGCUCAGGAAAUGCGGUCUGGGAGGUGGGCUGGUGUGGGGGCAGAUGAUCAGGAUGUGGAGCAGGAUGGUGGACGGACAGGGCCAGAAAGUCAGGUGAGAAACCAGCCAGAGGCCAGUCGCCCAAGAUGGUGGCGAAAGACACUCCAAAUUAUGGUUCCCCUUCAGAAUCUUUGAACAACUAGCAAAAACUGGCAGAACCAGCUUCCUCAAAACUCCAGAAAACAGUUAAAGGGAUUCAGUAGCUGGGCAAGUUCCAAAUCAAGAAAAUACAGCUUUAAUAAUGGUAAUAUUUUUAAUUAAGAAAAAAAUUUUUUUAAACCCAUAGGACUAUACAACACAAACAGUGAACCUUAAUGUAAAUCAUGGACUAUAU